AUCUGCUGAGUUUAACAGAACUGUUUCUGUUGGAGGUCUCCUGGGACCGAUGGUGUAUCUGCUGAGUUUAACAGAAAUGUUUCUGUUGGAGGUCUCCUGGGACUGAUGGUGUAUCUGCUGAGUUUAACAGAACUGUUUCUCACCAGUUGGUCCCUUUUCUGUUUGAGGUCUCCUGGAACUGAUGGUGUAUCUGCUGAGUUUAACAUAACUGUUUCUCACCAGUUAGUCCCUUUUCUGUUGGAAGUCUCCUGGGACUGAUGGUGUAUCUGCUGAGUUUAACAGAACUUUUUCUGUUGGAGGUCUCCUGGGGACUGAUGGUGUAUCUGCUGAGUUUAACAGAACUGUUUCUGUUGGAGGACUCCUGGGACUGAUGGUGUAUCUGCUGAGUUUAACAGAACUGUUUCUCACCAGUUGGUCCCUUUUCUGUUUGAGGUCUCCUGGGGAAUGAUGGUGUAUCUGCUGAGUUUAACAUAACUGUUUCUGUUCGAGGUCUCCUGGGACUGAUGGUGUAUCUGCUAAGUUAAACAGAACUGUGUCUCACCAGUUGGUCCCUUUUCUUUUGGAGGACUCCUGGGACUGAUGGUGUAUCUGCUGAGUUUAACAGAACUGUUUCUGUUGGAGGUCUCCUGGGACUGAUGGUGUAUCUGCUGAGU